rnacentral:rRNA from 1 species
UACGUAGGGUGCGAGCGUUGUCCGGAAUUAUUGGGCGUAAAGAGCUCGUAGGCGGUGUGUCACGUCGGCCGUGAAAACCUGGGGCUUAACUCUGGGCGUGCGGUCGAUACGGGCAUCACUAGAGUUCGGCAGGGGAGACUGGAAUUCCUGGUGUAGCGGUGAAAUGCGCAGAUAUCAGGAGGAACACCGGUGGCGAAGGCGGGUCGCUGGGCCGAUACUGACGCUGAGGAGCGAAAGCAUGGGUAGCGAACAGG